rnacentral:rRNA from 1 species
UACGUAGGGUGCAAGCGUUAAUCGGAAUUACUGGGCGUAAAGCGUGCGUAGACGGUUGCGUAAGUCAGAUGUGAAAGCCCCGGGCUCAACCUGGGAAUUGCAUUUGAGACUGUGUAGCUAGGGUGCGGAAGAGGGAAGCGGAAUUUCCGGUGUAGCGGUGAAAUGCGUAGAUAUCGGAAGGAACACCAGUGGCGAAAAGCGGCUUCCUGGUCCAGCACCGACGUCAGGCACGAAAGCGUGGGGAGCAAACAGG